UACCUGGUUGAUCCUGCCAGUAGUCAUAUGCUUGUCUCAAAGAUUAAGCCAUGCAUGUCUCAGUACAGGCCUACCUAAGGCGAAACCGCGAAUGGCUCAUUAAAUCAGUCAUGAUUCAUUGGAUGUCGUAACACCCUUACUUGGAUAACUGUGGUAAUUCUAGAGCUAAUACAUGCAACCGAGCUCCGACCCCGCUGUCAUGGCGGGGGAAGGGCGCUUUUAUUAGAUCAAAAACCGAGUGGGCCUUCGGGUCCGCUUCCCACAAAGAAUCCAGUCGAUGACUCUGAAUAACUUAGCCGAGCGCUGAGGUCUUGGAACCGGCGCCGUAUCCUUCGAGUGUCUGCCUUAUCAGCUCUCGAUUGUAGGUUAUACGCCUACAAUGGCUGUAACGGGUAACGGGGAAUCGGGGUUCGAUUCCGGAGAGGGAGCCUGAGAAACGGCUACCACAUCUAAGGAAGGCAGCAGGCACGCAAAUUACCCACUCCCGGCACGGGGAGGUAGUGACGAAAAAUAACGAUGCGGGACUCAUCCGAGGCCUCGCAAUCGGAAUGAGUCCAAUUUAAAACCUUGGACGAGGAUCCAUUGGAGGGCAAGUCUGGUGCCCAGCAGCCGCGGUAAUUCCAGCUCCAAUUAGCGUAUAUUAAAGUUGCUCCGGUUAAAAAAGCUCGUAGUUGGACUUCGUGUCCGGACCGGCCGGCCCAUCCAAGGCGCGCCCUCGUCGACAGCGGGCCGGUUUCCGUCGCCUUUCGCUCGUCCCGGGCGUCGCGGAUCGGUCUAAAAAAGCCUCCUUGCCCCUCCUCGCGCGUUUCCUUGGCGCGCGCGCUCCCGGGGAGCCCACAGCGGUCGGCGCUCCUCCGCUAAACGGUGGUUGGCGCCCCCGCGGUCGGCGAGUCGUACGUCGGCUUUCCUUCGCGGCGGUUUUCCCCCUCGUCCUCCGCUCCGCUUUCGAUCUUCGGAUCGGAGCGAGCGAGCGGGGCGGGAGCCGUCGGCCCAAUAUCGGGGGAUCGUUCGAGUGCUUCACGCUCCGCGGACCAGGCGCCCUCCAUCGGGGGGAAUCCGCCCCCGAUGUCGUUAGCUCCUCCGGCCGAGUUAGCGCGUCGUCGUUAAAGAGGGGCCGCUUGGGGGAUCGCAAGGGGCUUUCCGAUUCGCGCUUACGGCGCCUCGGGGUUCAAAAGCGGGCGAGGGCGAAGUUUCGCCCCCGGCGGGUAAGCGCGCCAGGUGUUCCCCGCCCGGCUCCGGAUUGAAAAAGCCGCCGGCUCUCACGGGGUGCUCUUACAUUCCGCGUGUCCCGCGUGGCCGGCACAUUAACUCUGAACACAAAUAUCAACCAGUCGUCUUAAAGCAGGCAAAACUAUUCACGCCCGAAUGGCGGUGCACCAGAAUGAUGGAUACAGGACGCAUAGUAUCCACCUAAUUUAUCUGACUCCAUUUUCGGAACCCGAGGUAAUGAUUAACGGGAACAGACGGGGGCAUUAGUAUUGCGACGCUAGAGGUGAAAUUCUUGGACCGUCGCAAGACUAACCACUGCGAAAGCAUUUGCCAAGAAUGUUUUCAUUAAUCAAGAACGAAAGUUAGAGGAUCGAAGGCGAUCAGAUACCGCCCUAGUUCUAACCCUAAACGAUGCUGACUGGCGAUCCGCCGGCGUCAUUCCCACGACUCGGCGGGGAGCCCACCGGGAAACCAAAGUCUUUGGGUUCCGGGGGAAGUAUGGUUGCAAAGCUGAAACUUAAAGGAAUUGACGGAAGGGCACCACCAGGAGUGGAGCCUGCGGCUAUAAUUUGACUCAACACGGGGAACCUCACCAGGCCCGGACACCGGAAGGAUUGACAGAUUGAGAGCUCUUUCUCGAUUCGGUGGGUGGUGGUGCAUGGCCGUUCUUAGUUGGUGGAGCGAUCUGUCUGGUUGAUUCCGAUAACGAACGAGACUCUACCCUGCUAACUACGUCGGCGGAAUCGUCUCCCGAGACGGGUCCUUUCCCGAGUGUCUUUCGGCGUUUCAGCGGCGGCCGCCCGCUUCCUUUUCCUUCCCUUCCCCGUUCGCGGAGAAAGCGUUCGUUUUCUUCGGGUCGGUCUCGUGCCGGUCCGAGGGGAUGGGCGUUCGUAACCCUUUGCGGGGAGGAGGGGUUGUCGGUCACCGGCCGUCGCCGCCGGGCCUCGCGCGUCGGACCCAGCGAGGGGCGUCCGUCGCAACGUCUUCUUAGAGGGAUCGGCGGCGUCUAGCACGCACGAGAAGGAGCAAUAACAGGUCUGUGAUGCCCUUAGAUGUUCUGGGCCCGCACGCGCGCUACAAUGAAGGGAUCAGCGUGCUUUCCCCCUCCCGAAAGGAGCGGGUAACCCGUUGAAACCCCUUCCCGAUUGGGAUUGGGGAUUGCAAGUGUUUCCCAUGAACGAGGAAUUCCCAGUAAGCGCGAGUCAUCAGCUCGCGUUGAUUACGUCCCUGCCCUUUGUACACACCGCCCGUUCGCUACUACCGAUUGAAUGAUUCAGUGAGGUCAUCGGACUGGCGCCCUCGGUAGCCUAAGGCGCGCAUCAAACCCCGUUUCGGCGGGGGGCCGCCCUACGGCACCCCGGGCUGACGGAAAGAUGUCCGAACUUGAUUAUUUAGAGGAAGUAAAAGUCGUAACAAGGUUUCCGUAGGUGAACCUGCGGAAGGAUCAUUA
rnacentral:rRNA from 2 species